rnacentral:rRNA from 1 species
UCUCCAGACUCCUACGGGAGGCAGCAGUGGGGAAUAUUGCACAAUGGGGGAAACCCUGAUGCAGCGACGCCGCGUGAGUGAAGAAGUAUCUCGGUAUGUAAAGCCCUAUCGGCAGGGAAGAAACAGACGGUACCUGACUAAGAGGCCCCGGCUAACUACGUGCCAGCAGCCGCGGGAAUACGUAGGGGGCAAGCGUUAUCCGGAUUCACUGGGUGUAAAGGGAGCGUAGACGGCGACGCAAGUCUGGAGUGAAAGCCCGGGGCCCAACCCCGGGACUGCUCUGGAAACUGCGGCGCUGGAGUACGGGAGGGGCAGGCGGAAUUCCUGGUGUAGCGGUGAAAUGCGUAGAUAUCAGGAGGAACACCGGCGGCGAAGGCGGCCUGCUGGACCGUGACUGACGUUGAGGCUCGAGAGCGUGGGGAGCAAACAGGAUUAGAUACCCUAGUA